rnacentral:rRNA from 1 species
CCGGAGCUUGCUCCGGUGAAAGUGGCGCACGGGUGAGUAACGCGUGGAUAACCUGCCCUGGUAUCUGGGAUAACAUCUCGAAAGGGGUGCUAAUACCGGAUAAGCCUACGGGAUCUUCGGAUUCUGCAGGAAAAGGAGGCCUCUAUUUAUAAGCUUCCGUAUCAUGAUGGGUCCGCGUACCAUUAGCUAGUUGGUGGGGUAAUGGCCUACCAAGGCGACGAUGGUUAGCUGGUCUGAGAGGAUGAUCAGCCACACUGGAACUGAGACACGGUCCAGACUCCUACGGGAGGCAGCAGUGGGGAAUUUUGGACAAUGGGGGCAACCCUGAUCCAGCCAUGCCGCGUGAGUGAAGAAGGCCUUCGGGUUGUAAAGCUCUUUCGGCCGGGAAGAAAUCGCAUCAGCUAAUACCUGGUGUGGAUGACGGUACCGGAAUAAGAAGCACCGGCUAACUACGUGCCAGCAGCCGCGGUAAUAC